CGCACCUUGCGCUCCCUGGUAUUCCGGGGAGCAUGCCUGUUUGAGUGUCAUGGUAUUCUCAACCUUCAUAACUUUUGUUAUUGAAGGCUUGGACUUGGAGGCUUGUGCUGGCUUUUGCGAGUCGGCUCCUCUGAAAUGCAUUAGCGUGAGUGUAACGGAUCGCUUCGGUGUGAUAAUUAUCUGCGCCGUGGACGUGAAGUAACAUAAGCUUGCGCUUCUAACCGUCCUUCAGCUGGACAAUAUCUUUGACAUCUGACCUCAAAUCAGGUAGGACUACCCGCUGAACUUAA
rnacentral:misc_RNA from 1 species